UACGUAGGGUGCAAGCGUUGUCCGGAAUUAUUGGGCGUAAAGAGCUCGUAGGCGGUUCGUCGCGUCGGCUGUGAAAUCCCGAGGCUCAACCUCGGGUCUGCAGUCGAUACGGGCGGACUGGAGUUCGGCAGGGGAGACUGGAAUUCCUGGUGUAGCGGUGAAAUGCGCAGAUAUCAGGAGGAACACCGGUGGCGAAGGCGGGUCUCUGGGCCGAUACUGACGCUGAGGUACGAAAGCGUGGGGAGCGAACAGG
rnacentral:rRNA from 1 species